rnacentral:rRNA from 1 species
UGGGGAAUCUUGCACAAUGGGCGAAAGCCUGAUGCAGCAACGCCGCGUGCGGGAAGAAGGCCCUCGGGUUGUAAACCGCUUUCAGAAGGAACGAAACUGACGGUACUUUCAGAAGAAGGUGCGGCCAACUACGUGCCAGCAGCCGCGGUGACACGUAGGCACCAAGCGUUGUCCGGAUUUAUUGGGCGUAAAGAGCUCGUAGGCGGUUCAGUAAGUCGGGUGUGAAAACUUUGGGCUUAACCCAAAGCGUGCAUCCGAUACUGCUGUGACUUGAGUACGGUAGGGGAGCGGGGAAUUCCUAGUGUAGCGGUGAAAUGCGCAGAUAUUAGGAGGAACACCGGUGGCGAAGGCGCCGCUCUGGGCCGAAACUGACGCUGAGGAGCGAAAGCAUGGGUAGCAAACAGGAUUAGAUACCCCAGUAUUCCCUGAGCGGGCUGGCAAGGCGCAU